UGAGGAAUAUUGGUCAAUGGGCGCAAGCCUGAACGAGCGAUGCCGCGUGAGUGAAGAAGGCCUUCGGGUCGUAAAGCUCUGUUGCGGGGGAAAAAAGGCAGCAUCAGGAAAUGGGUGCUGACUGAUGGUGCCCCGCCAGAAAGUCACGGCUAACUACGUGCC
rnacentral:rRNA from 1 species